AGUUCUACUUGGUUAACUUAAAAUGAAACCGAAACAACACACUGAUUUUCAGACCCCCUUACAAUUGUUGGCCACACUUAAGAGCCAGUUGUUGAGCAGAAGACUACUCAACAGAUAAGUUGACUGCCAGGUAGUGAAAAGACUUGGAAAAUCCCACUGCAACUUUUUAGUGGUCUGGAAAAUAUGAAAUGCCCAGAGGUUGAAAGAAAGAUUCAAACCCAUCCUCUAGUCCAGGCCAACCAAAUCCAACCAACGGUCCAAGUUCUUCAAUUUGCAAGUCUCAAUUCCAGCUGGCCUCUGAGGUGAAGGCUCAUCUCAGGUCUGCUUUCCAGACCUGAGAGUGACUUCUGGCACUCUCACACUUCAUGAGGACAACUGUCGUUGCCCCUGCCCUGGAGCCCUGUUAGCUCUCCAUGGUCACACAAGACCCACCUACACUAUUCCCUGUGUUGGAACUCUCUUCCCACAGUUCCCCAUGCCCACCAGCCCUUCUUGUUUAAAUCCAAACCUGAAGGCAGACAACCCUUCUCUGACUGCACAGGCCAGAAGAAAUCUCCUGCGAUGCAUCUUUCUGGGCCCUGCGCACCCUGCCGUUCCUCCAGGAAAGGAUGAGAGUAUAGUUACAUCGGUGGGCUUCUAAGUCGCCAGCUCAGAUGACUCUUAAGCUCCACGGGACAAUGGCAGGCAGUCACACUUCAGUAAGGCAGCUCCAUUUUGAAGAUGGAAAAGCUGACUGUACUCUAUAAUAUUGGCCAAAGUUAGCCUUUCCCAGGUCUCCAACAUGAGGCCCUGGGCUGCUUAUUGUGUCACUUAAAGUGGACAAGGACUCUGAAAGACAGCCAUCACUUUCCAUCUACUUACAGGGAUACAGGCUUGUGAAGGUCAAAUAAUUUGCCCAAGGUCAUAUGACUGAGAAACAGUAUAUUUUAAGUAUAUCUGGGUCCUCAAGUCUGGAUGCAGACUACACGGAAUCACAGUCCUGCAUGCUGUCUCCCAGGCCCCACCACUCAUGUCAAAAAAGAAGAAAAAUUCUGCCGAUGUGAGGGCAGCUCGCACCGUUCUAAGGACCGAGCCAAAUCAGAGGUAAAACUAGAAAGCACUAUCAGCCCUCCAAGGAAGCCUUUCCUAGCUCAGUUGGCAGGGUGGAGGGCGGUGGAGGACAGACUGCAGAAGCACCAAUCAUCAUUCUACCCUCCCAAGAAAGGGGGGAAGAAAGGUAUCCUUCAGAAACAAACCACACUAAAAACAGCAAAGAAUCAGCCCUGGACCUAAGGUCCCACAUGGCUGCACCCGAUGGGCUCCCUGCUUCCUAUGGCCUUCAAUGUAAAGAACCCUGCAGCCACAUCGCUCCCCCAACAUGCUAGAGCAGCCACGCCCUCGGGCAAAGUCUCUCUGUGUGGGUUUCCCACUAGUGAAUAUACGUGUGGCAACUGAGUAUGACCACCACUAUCUCAGUAUUCCGAUGGAUUAACAGACCCCAGCAUGACCGGUGGCUGCAACACAGCAACAGGGAGAUGGUCUGGCCCUCCUGGUAAUGUGCUGUAGUAGGCCCAGGGGCCAGCCUAUUACGGUGCUGUCAAAACAACGGCAACACACAUCGACAUUUCACCACUCUUAAAACACACAGACAACUGAAUAGGCCAAACACGAGUUAGCAAUCAGCAAAAGCCAAUUCGUGGUAGAUUAUGAGACACAAUCUACUGUCACCAUUGUCAACAAAUAAUGUCAAAUUCCAAUUUACAGUUUCAAAUUUCACAAAGUUCAAAUGUCUUAUUUUGUAAAACAGACACCAUACCCAUCACCACAGGCCAGAUGUGGUGGUGGUGGUUUAUAUCUUUAAUCUCAGUGCUUGGGAGACAGAGGCAGGAGGAUCUCUAUAAGUCCAAGGCCAGCCUGGUUGACACAGCAAGUUCCAGGCCAGUCAGGGCUACAGAAUGGUUCCCUAGCACAAAUAGACAGACAGACAGACAGACAGACAGACAGGCAACCACAGCAUGUUCUUUGCUGUUCAUGCAUACAGAAAUGUGAAAUUUGAAUAGACUUUCCUAUGUAAAUUGAAUAGUAAUAUACAGAAAUACAAUGAGUAAUUUUAAUAUCGGGUUACACAACAGAGAGGCAGACAAGAGUUGUACGGGCACACAAGAGAGGGAGCGUGCAGCCUGCCAGCAGAGUGGCAAAGGCUGAGAAAGAGAAACCUGCAGUGAAUCCCAGACAGCAGAAUCCUCCCAGUGGAGAAAACACAGUGGAGACAACGGGCAGCAGAGUCUAAAAUAGACAACGUUGGAGCGGCUAAAUGUAAGGCUGAGUAAGAACACAGAUGUAGGGUUCGUAGGAACCAGAUUCUUGUCCAAAUUGGUUAAACAGCUGCAGCCAUUUUCAAAACAACAAUGAAGACAAAAAUCCUAAAACUCACACCUUUGGUCUUUUAUCAUCUUUAAAAUUGUAUUUGUUACUCUGUAGCUCCAAUCUUUCUCCUUCCAGUAGGGGAAGAUUCUGUGGCUUUUAGGGUCUGUCUGUGUAUUAGUUAGGGUUUUACUGCUGUGAACAGACACCAUGACCAAG